rnacentral:rRNA from 1 species
UGGGGAAUAUUGCACAAUGGGCGCAAGCCUGAUGCAGCGACGCCGCGUGGGGGAUGACGGCCUUCGGGUUGUAAACUCCUUUCGCUAGGGACGAAGCUUUUUGUGACGGUACCUAGAUAAGAAGCACCGGCUAACUACGUGCCAGCAGCCGCGGUAAUACGUAGGGUGCGAGCGUUGUCCGGAAUUACUGGGCGUAAAGGGCUCGUAGGUGGUUUGUCGCGUCGUCUGUGAAAUUCCGGGGCUUAACUCCGGGCGUGCAGGCGAUACGGGCAUAACUUGAGUUCCGGUGGGGUAACUGGGAUUCCUGGUGUAGCGGUUAAAUGGCCAGAUAUCAGGGGGGACCCCGAAGGCGAAGGGAGGGUACUGGGCAGUUACUGACGCUGAGGAGCGAAAGCAUGGGUAGCGAACAGG